rnacentral:tRNA from 1 species
GCCCGGGUGGCGGAAUGGUAUACGCGCAACACUUAAAAUGUUGUGAUCGCAAGGUCAUGUGGGUCCGACUCCCACCCCGGGCA